GACCGCGUAGCUCAGUUGGUAGAGCAACUGACUUUUAAUCAGUGGGUCCCGGGUUCGAGUCCCGGCGCGGUCA
rnacentral:tRNA from 1 species